GCGACCCCAGCUCAGGCGGGGCC
rnacentral:rRNA from 3 species